rnacentral:rRNA from 1 species
CCUACGGGAGGCUGCAGUGAGGAAUAUUGGUCAAUGGACGAGAGUCUGAACCAGCCAAGUAGCGUGAAGGAUGACUGCCCUAUGGGUUGUAAACGUCUUUUAUCUGGGAACAAAACAGGGUAUGCAUACCCUCUUGGAUGUACCAUAUGAAAAAGGAUCGGCUAACUCCGUGCCAGCAUCCGCGGUAAUACGGAGGUUCCAAGCGUUAUCCGGAUUUACUGGGUGUAAAGGGAGCGUAGGUGGAUUGUUAAGUCAGUUGUGAAAUGUUGCGGCUCAACCGUAAAAUUGCAUUUGAAACUGGCCGUCUUGAGUACAGUAGAGGUAAGCGGAAUUCCUAGUGUAGCGGUGAAAUGCUUAGAUAUCACGAAGAACUCCAGUUGCGAAGGCAGCUCACUGGACUGCAACUGACACUGAUGCUCGAAAGUGUGGGUAUCAAACAGGAUUAGAUACCCCGGUAGUC